UGGAAAUUUAAAUAAAAGGUCGAACACGUGCGUUCACUGGGAAGUAUUGACAUGGGUGUUACAUCACCAGCAGCCAAUCAGAUAACUCCAGUCAUGUUUAUACUUCUACAAACCACCUUGUGAUGCCAGUUUUGCCACAAAUUCUAUGUGAUUUUACUGCAGCACCACAUAACCAUCAGCUGAAGCCUUCUGUGCCGGAUCACCUUGGAAUGCGGGGAGAGAGGUCACUGGAGAAGGGGCCACUUGGACCCUCCAGGAGUUGAACUCUUUUUCAUCUCACCAGGAACACGUCUGGGCCUCAUCACCUCCCUCCCUGCUGGCCUGAUACCUAAAAGCUAAAAUCUCAGUUACAAAGGGCCAGAUGUCUAGGGCUGAAAAUUCAAGUCCCUGAGAACAAACAGGACAAAAACAAUCACAAUCCACAUUUCUCAGCUGCUCGGCUUGGUGUGCUUCACUCUUAGUGCUUUUAAUCUAAUAAAUGUGGUACCUUCCUA